rnacentral:rRNA from 1 species
AGUGAACGCUGGCGGUAGGCCUAACACAUGCAAGUCGAACGGCGGCACAGGAGAGCUUGCUCUCUGGGUGGCGAGUGGCGGACGGGUGAGGAAUACAUCGGAAUCUACUUUUUCGUGGGGGAUAACGUAGGGAAACUUACGCUAAUACCGCAUACGACCUACGGGUGAAAGCAGGGGACCUUCGGGCCUCGCGCGAUUGAAUGAGCCGAUGUCGGAUUAGCUGGUUGGCGGGGUAAAGGCCCACCACGGCGACGAUCCGUAGCUGGUCCGAGAGGAUGAUCAGCCACAGUGGAACUGAGACACGGUCCAGACUCCUACGGGAGGCAGCAGUGGGGAAUAUUGGACAAUGGGCGCAAGCCUGAUCCAGCCAUACCGCGUGGGUGAAGAAGGCCUUCGGGUUGUAAAGCCCUUUUGUUGGGAAAGAAAUCCAGCUGGCUAAUAUCCGGUUGGGAUGACGGUACCCAAAGAAUAAGCACCGGCUAACUUCGUGCCAGCAGCCGCGGUAA